rnacentral:rRNA from 1 species
GCCUACGACUAUGCCACCCUAAACAAGACCGAUGUCUGAUCUUGGAAGAUAAGCAGGGUCGGGACUGGUUAGUACUUGGAUGGGAGACCAGGUACUGCAGGCA